CAUGCAAGUCGAGCGAAUGGAUUGAGAGCUUGCUCUCAAGAAGUUAGCGGCGGACGGGUGAGUAACACGUGGGUAACCUGCCCAUAAGACUGGGAUAACUCCGGGAAACCGGGGCUAAUACCGGAUAACAUUUUGAACUGCAUGGUUCGAAAUUGAAAGGCGGCUUCGGCUGUCACUUAUGGAUGGACCCGCGUCGCAUUAGCUAGUUGGUGAGGUAACGGCUCACCAAGGCAACGAUGCGUAGCCGACCUGAGAGGGUGAUCGGCCACACUGGGACUGAGACACGGCCCAGACUCCUACGGGAGGCAGCAGUAGGGAAUCUUCCGCAAUGGACGAAAGUCUGACGGAGCAACGCCGCGUGAGUGAUGAAGGCUUUCGGGUCGUAAAACUCUGUUGUUAGGGAAGAACAAGUGCUAGUUGAAUAAGCUGGCACCUUGACGGUACCUAACCAGAAAGCCACGGCUAACUACGUGCCAGCAGCCGCGGUAAUACGUAGGUGGCAAGCGUUAUCCGGAAUUAUUGGGCGUAAAGCGCGCGCAGGUGGUUUCUUAAGUCUGAUGUGAAAGCCCACGGCUCAACCGUGGAGGGUCAUUGGAAACUGGGGAGACUUGAGUGCAGAAGAGGAAAGUGGAAUUCCAUGUGUAGCGGUGAAAUGCGUAGAGAUAUGGAGGAACCCCAGUGGCGAAGGCGACUUUCUGGUCUGUAACUGACACUGAGGCGCGAAAGCGUGGGGA
rnacentral:rRNA from 1 species